UGAAUUUAAUUCACCUGAGUUUCAUGUUUUUUUUAGUGUGGGAGGAAACCGGAGUGCCCGGAGAAAACCCACGCAAGCACUAGGAGAACAUGUUAACUCCACACAGAGGGAAGAAUGGAGACAUCGAGAAGAUGGCAGCAUCUUCUCUCUGUGGUGCCACAGUGCUAAUCACAGAGCCACCGUGCUGCCCAAGAAGGACUUUGUUGUGAUGAUGUUGCCAUGUUCCCAGAUCUCAGCAGUUUUUUUGGGAUCUGGCAGCCAUCCACUGGGAGUCACCAGGUCUAGUGAUUGCUCUGCAGCGAUGAACAGUCAUGUACCACAGAGAGCUGACAGCCUGCAGGGAUUCAUCCCAGCCAAAAACUGCAGCAGCUGCAGACAAGGAAAACCCCUAACCAGUUGGCCAGCGAGCCCGUCAGCCAGUCGGUCGGCCAGUCUGCUCUGCAGAGGGCCCUGCCAAUCAUCAUCUGCUUCUUCUCAUGCUGUUCUGCAGGAGUCUUUCCAUUACACAAGUACCACAAUGUACCUGCUGGGGUUAAACCAAUUCAUUUGCUUGAAGGCCCAUACCAUUUCCAAUAGUUCUCACAGAAAUAUGUCAUACUGAUUGUAGGAAGGCAGGGAUGUAACAUUUCCUGUAGUAACUAUUUGACUGUACUGAAAUACAUCUGGAUCAACUCCUGAAUUUGAAUGCUCUAACAAUAAUGUUAUCAAGGUGAGCAGUGUUUGAACCAAACCAUGCAGUGCACAAUUAUUAACCAAUCUGUAACAGAACCAUAUUAAUGUAAUUAUUUGUCAAGUCAAGUCAGUUUUAUUUAUUUAUACACCAAAUAUUAACAGAGGUUAUCUCAGGGGACUUUUCAUAUAGAGCAGGUUUAGACUGUACUCUUUAUAAUAUUAUUUACAGAUACUCAAAAAGCCCAUGAUCAAGCACUUGGCAAAGUUGGCAAGUGUGUUAGUCAGCCACAUCUAAACUAACAGUAAGUCAUUCCAGUUCAAAAAGCAUUCAUAGUCAGCUGCAGCAGUUAUGUGUUUCCACCUGUGUACACAUUCACUGUAUAGAGUACAUCCCUGUGUUUCCAUUUUCCUGUGUAUUUAUAUAUGUUUUUUUAACCUUUCUUCAGCAAAGGGAGGUUUGCUGAGUAGACAUGCUGCUGUUUACAAUGUCCUGUUUAAUAAGUUUAGAUACACUCAAUAGCACAUAAUAAUAUUGCUGAGGGGGAAUAGAAUAUCAAGAAUUCUCUGCCUGACUUUUUCCAAAGACCUUCGUGUCACUAAUUCAUAAGUCUGCUGCUGUCACUGCUGUGUCAACAAGGUAAUGUGUGAUAACAUCUUGGUUUUGCCAAGAGGCUGGAGGGGUGUUCCACAUAUUGGCAUUCCCACUGUCAUGCUGCCAAUCUCAACAGAAACACCAAGGGAAAUUUAUAAAAUGAAAAGGGAGAAACUGGACAGAGAAAAUCUUGUUGGACUAUACUGUAUAAAACUGAGUUAAGGCUGUCUAACAAGUUGAAAAAAAUUACACUUAAACAGUAAAAAUAUGUAAACAUGAAAAGAUUGAUCACCAGGGUUGGGUUCUGAUAGCUGUUGGCAAUUUACACUGUAGAGCUCCAAUGCUACAAUUUUUUUUAAAAUCAAACUUUUUAUUUCUCCUUGUUAUUUUAUUCAUUAGCAAAGACCAGUGCUGAAAACGUGUAGGUAAGCUUUAGCGGGAUUCUCAUUUACAGGUGGUGCUAAGUGUUAUUUUUGCUAGAGAACAUGACCAACAUUACGUCAGUGGAUCGUAUCAAUUGUAGCUAAUUAAUGGUAUUUCUGUAACAGAUACUCAUAUCUCAUAUCAUCAUAUCAACAUUCUGAGUUAAUUAACUUCAUUGUUCUGAAUCAGGAUCUCCAUUGUUAUAUCAGUGUACCAAAACAAUCAAUAUCAAUUAACAAUCAAGAUUUAUACCUUCAUAUGCUCAGCUCAUUUUCAGGUUGUAGCUAUAUUGUGAUAAACUAACCAGGCAAUCUUAAAUAAAAUUAACUCUAAAAACUGCCUCUUGCGUAACAACAGA